rnacentral:rRNA from 1 species
CCUACGGGAGGCAGCAGUGAGGAAUAUUGGUCAAUGGACGAGCGUCUGAACCAGCCAAGUAGCGUGAAGGAUGACUGCCCUAUGGGUUGUAAACUUCUUUUAUAUGGGAAUAAAAUGUUCCACGUGUGGGAUUUUGUAUGUACCAUAUGAAUAAGGAUCGGCUAACUCCGUGCCAGCAGCCGCGGUAAUACGGAGGAUCCGAGCGUUAUCCGGAUUUAUUGGGGUUAAAGGGAGCGUAGGUGGAUUGUUAAGUCAGUUGUGAAAGUUUGCGGCUCAACCGUAAAAUUGCAGUUGAAACUGGCAGUCUUGAGUACAGUAGAGGUGGGCGGAAUUCGUGGUGUAGCGGUGAAAUGCUUAGAUAUCACGAAGAACUCCGAUUGCGAAGGCAGUUCACUGGACUGCAACUGACACUGAGGCUCGAAAGUGUGGGUAUCAAACAGGAUUAGAUACCCGAGUAGUC